rnacentral:rRNA from 1 species
GAUGAACGCUGGCGGCGUGCCUAAUACAUGCAAGUCGAGCGAACAGACGAGGAGCUUGCUCCUCUGACGUUAGCGGCGGACGGGUGAGUAACACGUGGAUAACCUACCUAUAAGACUGGGAUAACUUCGGGAAACCGGAGCUAAUACCGGAUAAUAUAUUGAACCGCAUGGUUCAAUAGUAAAAGACGGUUUUGCUGUCACUUAUAGAUGGAUCCGCGCCGCAUUAGCUAGUUGGUAAGGUAACGGCUUACCAAGGCGACGAUGCGUAGCCGACCUGAGAGGGUGAUCGGCCACACUGGAACUGAGACACGGUCCAGACUCCUACGGGAGGCAGCAGUAGGGAAUCUUCCGCAAUGGGCGAAAGCCUGACGGAGCAACGCCGCGUGAGUGAUGAAGGUCUUCGGAUCGUAAAACUCUGUUAUUAGGGAAGAACAAAUGUGUAAGUAACUAUGCACGUCUUGACGGUACCUAAGCAGAAAGCCACGGCUAACUACGU